rnacentral:lncRNA from 1 species
AAUGUUUUUUGUUCCAUGUAACUAUGACAGCGUAACGUUUUUGUUCGUAGAACGUAAAUCUUAAAUUUUUGUGUAUUGUACCUGAAGAUGAUGUGUUACACAUCGAAAACGUUAGUUUUAAUAAAGUUUUUUCGAGGUUGCGACUGCUACUGAGUGCUUGUACCAUUACUUAACAUUAUCGUAGUAACAUAGCAGACGAUCAUCAUGGACUUUGCAGAGCUGAGACAGCCUAUUAGAGAAUACACAAAAGCCAUCCAGAAAAAUAUCAAAGCCUUCGAAACAUGGAAAUUCCUUAUGCAAUGUAAGCUUAAUAGAGUCUACCCUAUGUCAAUAUACAACAUCAAGUUGCCGAUAUCUUUCAAGAGAGUCUUGAGUAAUACAAAAAGAAUCUGCCUGAAAGCAGCGCUGAUGGACACCAG